rnacentral:rRNA from 1 species
GACGAACGCUGGCGGCGUGCUUAAUACAUGCAAGUCGAGCGAGGCCUUGGAAUUGGAGUCCUUCGGGAUGAAGAGUCCUUGGCCUAGCGGCGGACGGGUGAGUAACGCGUGGGCAACCUACCCCAAAGUCCGGGAUAACAGUGGGAAACCGCUGCUAAUACCGGAUGGCUUUACCUGAGGGCAUCCUCGGGUAAAGAAAGGUUACGCUUUGGGAUGGGCCCGCGUCCCAUUAGCUAGUUGGUGAGGUAACGGCUCACCAAGGCGACGAUGGGUAGCCGGCCUGAGAGGGUGAACGGCCACACUGGGACUGAGACACGGCCCAGACUCCUACGGGAGGCAGCAGUGAGGAAUAUUGGUCAAUGGACGAGAGUCUGAACCAGCCAAGUCGCGUGAAGGAAGACGGUUCUAUGAAUUGUAAACUUCUUUUGUGCAGGAAUAAAGUGGGUUACGUGUAACCUUUUGUAUGUACUGUACGAAUAAGGAUCGGCUAACUCCGUG